AUCGUUCAUCUUCGAGAGAAGACGGAAGUAGGUGAAAACUGAAGGAACGCGAC
rnacentral:ncRNA from 10 species